CAGCCUCAGCGAGGCCCCACGAGAUGCGCACGCAACACAACGCGACCUAACGCGACACCCAGCCAAGCAGCACCUCACCUGACCUGACCAGCCUACAUGGCUUCAUCUAACAUUUGUGUGGGACUGAAAGGUGGCACAUCGACUUCAUACAAACUGACACGUGGGUGCUGAAGGAACAAACAUCGCGGCAACUGAAAGGUUUAAAGCUCAAUCGGCAAGGAGCUCUGGUGUCGGCUGCACGUAGAACUUCGCAAACUUUCUAGAGAGGGCAACGCGAACCCACUGGCCGGCUGCGCGGAGCUGACGAACGUUCAUUCCGUGGACUGGUGACAAACUGACUGGAGAGUUUAGCAGCCUGCAAGCUGUCAUUGAGGGGCUACAGAUGUGAUAUUACUAUCAUUAAGAAUUUAUUACAGGAGAAUGCUCUUGACUUGGGUAGAAAUUGUAAAUGUCAGAACGAAAAAAGAAAGAAAGAAAGAAAGAAAGAAAGAAAGAAAGAAAGAAAGAAAGAAAGAAAGAAAGAAAGAAAGAGGAGCAGCAAUAGAGAGAAAGAGACCCAUUUAAUUGAUUUGAAGGCAACAACCGUUCAAAUCCUGUAAAGACUGAAAGGCUCGUCCGACUUUUGUGUUCCCGCUUUUUUGACGUGUCAGAAGGUUCCCGUAUAGUAUAAAAUGUAAGACUUCGGCCUGCGCCCCUAUGUAGCCUCAUACUGGUUCACAUUAUAAAGUAAUGUUCAUGACGAAACGCACCAAAUGGGUUUCAAACGAAUCCGUCUAAAGAAGGGACUUACCGACAAAUGAAAACCUCGCGACAGAACGAGACGGUGUCUUUUUUGCUUCUUUAAUGGAAACGGCGCGAUGUUACUGGACUGAACCAACAGCUUGACGGGUAACCCCACGUCAGACAAAAAAAUAACUUAUAAAAUAACGGAUAACUUUUAGGCAAUAAAGAGUAACGAAAUAUGAUCAUCGAGGAAGAGGGGACUGAAUCAUCAGUGCAGGUGAUAAUACUCGAGGGGCGAUGUACUGGAUUUCUUAUUACAGAGAACUUUUAAUGAGACAGUACAUGAAUUUAUUGACUUAAUUCCCACCUAUCUGUCCAAUCAUUUUAGAUCCAGCUUCAUCCAAUUCAGAGUCGCGGUUUUAUAUGACAGCAGCACAGGACUCACGCAAAACUCCUCUCCGGAUUGUGGUCGCGUUUCGACCUCUGCACCUUUUUGUCAAUAAUUUUAAAUUAUUGUAAUCUACAGGUCAACGAGAACUAAAGAAGACAAACAAUAACUCACCUUCAAUACUUCCGGUCACCCAAAAUGGCUACCAUUCAACAAUCCCGUCUCCAUAUUCCAUCGAUGAUGUCACUUCCAGCUCCCCCGAGUUGACGUCACUUCCGGCUCCCCUUUAUGAUGUCACUUCCAGCUCCGCCAUGAUGACGUCACUUCCUGGCCCAGCAUAAUAACAUUAGUUCCUCAAUGAUGAUGUAAUUUCCAUCCAUCCGCAUUUGAUGUCAUUUCCUGUAAACCUCAUUUCCUGCCACCAUUUUGCUAUAAAAUCUCCAGGUAUUCACUUCUCAGUUGUCAAAUUUUUUCCAUUCUGUCCAAGGACAUUAUACGGGGUCAUUCCCCAACUCUUUUUGAGACUUUUUGAGUCGUUUAUUCUGUUACACCACUGAGAAGGAAAACAGAAUGUCAAGUUAUAUAGCGCCUUGAUGUGUGGAGUACAAGUCACAGAAGGUUCUGCUGCAGCUUUAUAACACACUGGUGAGGCGUCAUCUGGAGUACUGGGUGCGGUUUUGGUCUCCAUGUUACAAAAUUGACAUAGCAGUACAGGAAAAAGUCCAGAGAAGAUCAACUAGGCUGAUUCCAGGGCUACAGGGGAUGAGUUACGAGGAAAGAUUAAAAGAGCCUUUACAGUUUAAGCAAAAGAAGAUGAAGAGGAGACCCGACUGAAGUGUUUAAAAUUAGUGCAGUGGAUCAAGAGUUGGAAACUUCUUCUUCAUUUUUCGGCUGCUCCCGUUAGGGGUCGCCACAGCAGAUCAUCUUUUUCCAUCUCUUUCUGUCCUCUGCAUCUUGUUCUGUUACACCCAUCACCUGCUUGUCCUCUCUCACCACAUCCGUAAACCUUCUCUUAGGCCUUCUGCUUCUCCUCUUGCCUGGUAGCUCUAUCCUUAGCAUCCUUCUCCCAAUAUAACCAGCAUCUUUCCUCUGCACGUGUCCAAACCAAUGCAAUCUCGCCUCUCUGACUUUGUCUCCCAACCGUCCAACUUGAGCUGACCCUCUAAUGUCCUCAUUUCUAAUCCUAUCCAUCCUCAUCACACCCAAUGCAAAUCUUAGCAUCUUUAACUCUGCCACCUCCAGUCUCCUGUGCCAUCCUCUCCAGCCCAUAUAACACAGCUGGUCUCACUACCAUCCUGUAGACCUUCCCUUUCACUCUU